rnacentral:tRNA from 1 species
AAGGUUUUAAGUUAAAUUAAACUAAUAAUCUUCAAAAUUGUUCAUAAAGAUAAUACUAUUCUUUAAACCUUA